rnacentral:tRNA from 1 species
AAAGAAUUAGUUAAAUUUAACAUUAGUAUGUCAUACUAAAAUUAUUUGUCAUUAAUCAAGUAUUCUUUA